GAUGAACGCUGGCGGCGUGCCUAAUACAUGCAAGUCGAGCGAACAGACGAGGAGCUUGCUCCUCUGACGUUAGCGGCGGACGGGUGAGUAACACGUGGAUAACCUACCUAUAAGACUGGGAUAACUUCGGGAAACCGGAGCUAAUACCGGAUAAUAUAUUGAACCGCAUGGUUCAAUAGUGAAAGACGGUUUUGCUGUCACUUAUAGAUGGAUCCGCGCCGCAUUAGCUAGUUGGUAAGGUAACGGCUUACCAAGGCAACAAUGCGUAGCCGACCUGAGAGGUGGAUCGCCCACACUGGACCUGAGACCGGGCCCAGAAUCCUCCGGGAGGCAGCGGUGGGGAAUCUUCCGAAAUGGGCGAAAGCCUGCCGGAGCAACGCGGCGUGAGUGAUGAGGGUCUUCGAAUCGUAAACUCUGUUAUUAGGGAAGAACAAAUGUGUAAGUAACUAUGCACGUCUUGACGGUACCUAAUCAGAAAGCCACGGCUAACUACGUG
rnacentral:rRNA from 1 species